GGAGAAACAGGAAGGGGCUCCCCUUUUCUCCCUUGCUCUUCCAGCAGCACAAUGUGAGCCACCGGCAAGGAGGGACACCAAUAAGGCGUCUGAUAAGAACCUUGAAUCACAAUGAUGGCUAGCCACGGUUGAGCAGAUCUCUGGGGAUGCUUCCAUAUCCGAUCCAUAGCGAAGUAAGGCUUGUUGCUCAGGGGCUCCAGGAAGAAGAAGGUUCUUGACCAGGGAUGAGAGCAGUUCAGGACUAUGGGCCCAAAGAAGUAUUUUGAAGGCAGUGUGACAGCAUUACCAUCCAGCAAAGGGACAGGAGCAGGUUCUCCAAUAAGGCCUCUGACUGCCCAGCCAUGGGCUUUUCACUGUACCAGCAACCCAGGAAGAAAUCAUUCCUCUGCCAGUUUCUACUCUACUGAAGCUCUUCUCAGCCAAUCAGGAUGUUCAGAAGGGGAACAAAGCAGUCUGGCUGCCCGAGCACAGGCUGGCAAAGGCUCUGGUGGCCGUUCACUUGGGCAGGAUAUCAGAGGACUUCGACACCAGCUUCCCAUCGCAGGCUUCAAUCUUCUUCACAACCACAGCCUUGGUGCGACUGUAAGUGCUGGAGUCCCCGACAGAGCUGAAGCAGGGCUGGAAGGAGCUCAUGCCAUAGCUGAAGCCAGGGCUGGUGAGUCCCCCAUAGGCUGAGCUCAGCCCUCCUGACUAGCCACUGGUGGUCUUUGUUUGGAUACUCAAGUUCUGCAUUCCAGACUCCAGUCUGCUCUCCUCGCCCUCCAGCAGCUUGCGGGAGAUGGCAAUCUCGAUGUCAAGCGCCAGUUUG
rnacentral:lncRNA from 1 species